AUCGCUUCUCGGCCUUUUGGCUAAGAUCAUGUGUAGUAUCUGUUCUUUUCAGCUUAAUAUCUGAAACGCGACUCACCGAGUCGCUUGUAUAUUAAACUGAUUUUUGAACUUAGGCCAUGGAAAGGGGCUUGCUCCGUCCUGGCCACGGGUUGGCCCGGUAUUGCAGUACCUCCGGGAUCGGCCCACCCUCA
rnacentral:snRNA from 1 species